UUUAAUCAUCUCUAUAUGAGCAUACAAAUAUUGAUUUAUCUUCUUGAGAGUCAAUACUAUUUCUUUCAUUUCUAUACUCUCAUCAAUCUAUCAUUGAUAUACUAAAGUAAGGUAAAUUGACUAGAAAUGCAUGUUUGGACUAUAAGUCAAACAGAAACUCAAGCCCAUCAGAAUUCAAAUUCGCAAGUCCAAAAAUAACCCAUUUGUCAUUCUUCACCAACAUAAUUUUAACAUAAUUUCAAACCCAUUUGGCUCUUAUCCAAAACCAUUUUGAUCCUCUCUUAUAUUUAUGUACUGUGAACUGUGUAGUCAAAGACCUCAAGAUUGUUCUAAAGGCUCUUUAAAUAUCCUUGUAAUCGUUUUAUGAAAGAUAAGUUGAAAGUAAUAAAAGUUCAAAAGUUUGUCUUCUUCGUUAUACUCACAUGGUAUUAGAGUCAUUCUAACUUUCACAUGUGCUUUAAUGGAAGAUCUUUUAAAUCUUGAUCAUUUCCUGAGCAAUGUUCAUGUCUUGAGCUAUGUCACGUUGAAACUCAACAAACAAUUACUUGGUCUGAAAACUCAGUUCAAAUCCUUAUUGUCUAGUCUGAAGCUGCUGGGUUUUGUAAAUGGAGCUAUUGCACCACCACCGACGACACACACUAUUGUUCUAGAAACCGUAAAUGUCGAUGAAAAGAACCCUCAGUUGGAGUAGUGGUUUUGUACUGAUCACCUAGUGUGCUCAUGAAUAUUUGGAACUCUGUCCGAGGAAGUAUUGGGUUCUGUUCACACACUAUUCACCUCCCGCAAAGUCUGAAUUUCACUAGCUAACAACUUCAACAAAAUCUUCCUUGCUAGAGAAUACUCUUUUCGACAAAGCUUGCAUUUGUUAACAAAAAAAAUACAAGACUUAGCUGUCUAUUGUCGUAGCUGUCUAUUGUCGACACUUCAAGACAAUAUGUGAUUCUUUAGGUUCUAUUACAAACCAUUGAUGAAUCUAUGAUUUUUUUUGGUUUUCAAAAAGGUCUCAGCAGAAUAUGAUCUCAUCACCACUACCAUUUAAAUUUUCCACACAAAGUUCUCGACUCAAACAUUUAACGAUGUGAUCUCUGAAGUUCAAAGGUUUGAUGGCAAGCUACAAUCAUACGAGGAAAAGACUACAGUCAAAUCUGAUAUGGCAUUCUCUACUAAAAAAAAUAGAGUAUAAUAAAGAGUACAAACCAGCUGGUCCUGCUUAUAACCCAAUCUACCGUGGAAGACGUUGUUAUGGUUCUUACCGAGGAAUAGGAGACUAUUCUUGAGGGGGGUCAUGGCUUUUCUCAACAUCCGACCACUAGCAACACUCAAGGAGAAAGAGUAACUUGUCAAACAUGUGGUAGGACUGGUCAUACAACCAUCAAAUGCUACAACAAAUAUGAAAAUAAUUAACUAUCACACUAUUGAAGACUUUUCUUCCUCUAUGCGUGUGCCUGAUGAAAAGGAAUAGUAUCCAGACUCAUGAGCCACGGCUCACAUUACUUCUUCCACGAGCAAUCUUUAAGGUGUCCAUCCAUUUGAAGGUAAUGAUGCUGUCAUGGUCCGAGUUGGUUCUUAUCUUCCUACCCUAUUACACAUGUUGGUUCAACCACUAUUUCAUCUAAUCUAUGUACAAAAAUAUAUGUUAUCAGUCUCUAAACUUUGUGAGAAUUAUCCAUGCAGUGUAUUUAUAUGCUAAUCAUUAAUAUCUUAUUGAUCUAAUUAAGGAGAAACUGGUGUCAAAGGGUCCUCCAAAUAAUGGAUUAUAUAUGUUGAAAAAUCGGAAGUUUUCAGUCUAUUUCUCAGAUCGUCAUGUUGCAACAUUAAAAGCUAUAUGGCCUCUCAGACUUGGUCACUCCAACUGUAAGGUUCUUCACAACUUAAAUCAAGCAAGGAAAUUAAGGUCAAUAUGAGCAUAUCAGUCCCCAUGUAUGAGUCUUUCUAGAUGGAAAAAAGUAGUAGAUUACAGUUUUUUUCAGUCUCUUUCUCAUGUUUCUCAACCCCUAAAACAGAUUCAUUGUGAUCUAUGGUGACUUUCUCCCAUUAUAUCCAAUAAAUGUUUUUAGUCUUAUGCAAUUUUAUGGAUGAUUAUACUCGGUACAAGAGUAAAUUAGUUUCAGUCAGAUGGAUGAGGAUAAUUUAUAAACAAUCUAAAGAAUCAUUUUCUUAUGGAGAAUGGUAUUAAAAUCAAAUAUAUUGCCCUACACACCCAACAUAAAGGAUUCACAGAGAGAAAGCAAAUACACUUCAUUGAGCUUGGUCUCUCCACGAAAUAUAGAUUAUACACAUGGAUUCUAGUUCCUCCCAGUAAUGACAUGAACAUCUUGAGAAGUAUAUGGUUGUUUAGUACAAAGCUCAGGCUAGAUGGAACUGUUGACAAACUCAAACCUUGGCUAGUCACCAAGGGUUUUGAACAAGAGGUGGGUCUUGACUAUCUGGAAAACAUUCAGUCAAGUUGUUAGAACUGCUACAAUUCGAUUAAUGUUUAAUAUUUCUACAACUAAGAACUGGCCAAUUAAGCAACUUGAUGUUACAAAUACAUUUCUUCAUGGAGACCUACAAUACAUAUAAAUUUUACUGAUCAAUAGAGGCCAUAUUAUGUCUGCAAGCUCACCAAGGCUACAUACUAUCUGAAACAGGUUCCCCGAACAUGGGUUGAUACAUUUAGUAACUUCUUGGUAGAUUUGUGUUUGCUUGCAGAAAUUCAUAUCCUUCAUUAUUCACCUGUCACAUAAACAACAAAACAAUAGUCUUUCGGCAUACUACUUACAAGAAGUGAUACCUCAAUCUUACAAGCUCUGGUUAAGUCUCUAUCACAACCUUUAUCAAUGAAGGAUAUGAGAUUUCCAAAUUACUUUUGGGUAUAGAGAUGGAGACUCAUUAAGGGAGAAUUUUUUCUUCAAGGUCGUAUACUCAUGACAUACUAUAUCAAGCUGCAAUGACUGACUGCAGUCCUCUGCCACAACGCAUUAGAACACUUGAUCCAAGUCUCUUCAUGGAGCCUACUUAUUUUUCAGAGUUUGGCUAGUAAGCUUCAGUAUCUCAUUAUCACCUUACUAAACAUCCAAUAUGCAAUCAUUUUUGCAUGUCAGAAAAUGCAUUCACCAACUAUGUCAAAUUUGGGUUACUCAAAAUGCAUUCUCCGGUAUUUGAAAGGGACGUUGAAUCUUGAUUUGCAUAUUAGAAAAGAUACUACUCUGUCUAUAUUGACCAAUUGCAACAGCAACUAGACAUGCUGUCAAGACACUAGAUGGUCUACUACUGAUUUGUGUACCUUCAUAGGCUAUACUGUAAUCUCCUAGUUUGCUAAACGCCAAUAAACAGUUUCCCAUUCAUCCACCAAUACUGAAAACAAAGCGCUGGCAUCUACGGCUCACGAGAUAACCUAGAUGUCACUAUUACUUUGUGAUUUGGACAUUCCUCAACCACAUGCGCAGUGGCGGAUCUAGAAAUUAUUUAAGGUGAGGCAAAUUUAUCGAUAAGUAACACAAUAAAGGAAAAAUAGUAGGGGCAAAUUUAUCUUUUAAUAUGGGGAAAAUAAUUAUUAGUCUAAGGAAAUAACAUUAAAUUAUUUUUUAUUGGGGGGAAAAUGCCCCCAUGCUACCCUACGUGCCUCCGCCACUGCACAUGCCACUAUGCUCUAAUGUAUAGAUGUAAAUUUGGAACCUGAACCGAAGGCUUGGCCUGUAAAGGACUGCUGCAGGGUGGAUUUUGUUUGGCAUUUCGUAGACCCAAAAAGACCGGGCCUCGCGAGUAAGUGUCAUGCGGUAUUGGGUUUUCGGCGGGAUGAGCCUCACUUGGACCCACAGGAUAGUAAAGACCCGCUUCACCUGAAGAUUCUUUUACAUUUUCACCUGAAAAAACGAGAGAAAGAGAGAGAGCGACGAUGUUGAUUUGGCUUCGAUCUUCACCAAUAACCUAUGGAGCUCCAGUGACGGUGGUUCGAUGUUCGACGAAGCUUCCGGUCUCUCAUGUGUAUUUGAUCUGAGUCUUCUUUCGGUCAUCCCUUCGUAUUCGAUCUGCAGAAGAGCAGCUUCAACGACAACUCAGAUGAACUUUAUCGACUGUUUCUUAACCAACAACCUCCAAUGAAGAUUCCACUUCAGAUGCCGAUCUCUAAGAUCUUCUUCUUCUUCUUCUUCUUUUCUUGUAUAUAUUUGUCUUUUUGUUAGUGGCUUGCAUUACCUUGAUUACUUUCACAUGAAAUAAUUGCUCAACUUGAUAGAGAAUAUCAAGGAACUCAAAAACCUUCAAAAACUUUGAAGAGGGCGGGAUUGGGCAUGCCCUAACGUAACCGUGGUACAAAAACGGGACAACGCACAGAGACCCGCUGCAGAACGUGAUGGGCCGGGACGGGCCAAUCUGUUUCCAUCUCUACUCCUAUGCUAGGGAUCCUAUGUGACAAUCUCUCAGAUGUCUACUUGAGUACAAACCCUCCCUUACACAAGAGAUCUAAACCCUUUGAUACUGAUUAUUAUUACAUUAGAGAACAAGUAGCUUUGGGUUUGAUUGAGACGAAGCACAUAGCUAUAAGUUGCAGCAAUCUUUACUGAAUCCCUACCAAGAAAGGCUUUAGUUUAUUUUGUGACAAAUUUUGUGUCGAAGCUUCUCUCAUCACCUAUGUAGCACGGGGACGCCUAUUUAGGUGCCGUACCGGUACCGGAAACGUUUGGGGGACGGGUACUUCACGGGGACAACACUGGUACGGCUUGGGAACGGUUAGAGAACAUAGCUAUGAGUAAGACUAGUUUUCACGGGACUUAAUGCUUGUUCAAUUGUUUUUUAACUGUCACUGUUAUCUUGCUUCUAAUUUUAGUUGGCAAAAUAGACAUAUAAUAGUAAAUUAUAACUAAUUAUGUUAGAUUCACUAUAUAAAUUUAUUUUUUUUAUAAAUAUUUUAUAUUUUUUACUAGUA